UACGGGGGGGGCUAGCGUUGCUCGGAAUCACUGGGCGUAAAGCGCACGUAGGCGGAUUGCUAAGUCAGGGGUGAAAUCCUGGAGCUCAACUCCAGAACUGCCUUUGAUACUGGCAAUCUCGAGUCCGGGAGAGGUGAGUGGAACUGCGAGUGUAGAGGUGAAAUUCGUAGAUAUUCGGAAGAACACCAGUGGCGAAGGCAGCUCGCUGGGACGGUACUGACGCUGAGACGCGAAAGCGUGGGGAGCGAACGAGG
rnacentral:rRNA from 1 species